ensembl:lncRNA
CAUAAUUGCUUAUUGGGCACUGUGUUGAGUGCUUUACAAACAUUUUAUCAAUAGUGACAAGUCCUGUGAGGUAGGCAGUAGUACUUUCCUUCAGUUAUAGAUGAGGAGAUGGAAGCUUAGUGAGACUGUGUAAUGUGCAUAAGGCUAUACAACUGUUAAGUGUUGGAGUCAGUAUUCAAGCCCACAUUGUCCUGAUCCCUAAGCUGGCACCUGCUGCAGUAUAUUUUAUCUGCCUGUAGCAAUUCCGUAUCUCCAUUCCUCAGCUCUUCACUCACUGAUUUAACUUGUUGAAAGCAUUGGCCUCAGUAAUUUUGACUUUAGAACUCUUGCUUGGUUGGCAUCCGGUCUCUGGCUUCAUAACUGUACUCUGUCGUCAAAGUCAGGCUGAGACCCCAAGUCAUUGAGUUGGCAACACUCCCAGGCCUUCCCUGAUCCUCAGGCAAGCAGGAGACCUGACAUACCUGCUUUGGGAUACCCUUACUAAGAAAUUCAAAAAUUUUGCAUGGUUGAACAGAUGGAUAGAAGCACAUUGAAAUUGCUUCUUUCUUUUUAUUUGCAAAGAUAGAGCUAGACUUGAAGAAAUAGAUGCAAAGCAAAACCCACUCCAUAUUUAGUUUAGCCUCAAAAUACACAUGACCUGAGCGCUCCCUGUUUAGCUCACCUUCUUACUUCUGCUGCAAAUGUUUGCUGAUGUUACAGCUUACAAAGCACAAAUCUGCAGGGGCCUCUGAGCCCCUCUGGUACACUUUUUCCCCUGAUUAGGUAAAUGUCAGUGGAAAAUCACCAUGUAUUUAGUGUUUUAAUAAAACUACAGAAUUGUUUAUUUUGUGGCCUCAGGUUUCAAAAGGGAAAGAAAUAGCCACAUUAAACUUUGCCCCUAAAACUCCAGCAACUCCCUCCAGGACACUUAUAAAUGUUAUCCUCCUGCCACCCGAACUAUGUUUUCACUAGGACAUCCUCUGCUGCUAAUUCUAGUCGAUAAUCAUAGGACUGGCCAGGGUCAUUUUCAGGCUCGAGGAAAGAAAUAGCAUCCAGAUUGUGUGUCACAAGAAACAUGACUUUAAUUCCUAACUUCCAGUUCCUUGAUGACAAGGUCAAUGAAUGCCAAACUUAGAUCAUGGAACAGUAAUUCUACUGAGAACACACAAGCAUGAAAUCUAUCUCAGCUUUCAUUUCCCUGCCUAGUCCUCAGAGGGCUUCUUCAUCACCUUCAGCCUCAGUGUUAAAAACUAGCUUUAUGCACUGCACUGUCCAGGACACUGAUGAGAAUGAAGGGGUGACCCAGUCAGCUGUAAUGGCUUCGUGGUGCCCAUAAGAUCCAGGUGUCUCGGAGAUGUCAUUUCAGCUGCACUUGUGUUUGUAGCAGGUUGUCACAUGGAGCGUGGGAAUUCUGUAGGCCAGGAAGCCUCCACUCCCCCUCUUCCUCCGCUUGUUUUCCAGCUCUUACGUGUUUCUUGAAAGAAACAUGGUUGGAAACUACAGAUACCAUGAAAUGCAGAUUUACUCCAUAUUUGAAGCAACACAAUGCCAUACAUUAACGCUCACACAUAACUAUGAUCACCAUCUCUUCAGAGAGUUCCUGCUUUGAGGAAAGAGAGAACCCAAUGGCUUUGGAUAUCAGAGUCCUGGAAGUGAGAAGAAAGCUCCCUCCCAAAGGAUGAGAAAGGAAGAAAGGGAUAAAAAACAGUGUUAUCCUACUUUAUUCCUCUAUCAGACCUGUCCACGUGCUAACUGAAUAGUAUUUGGUACAGUUGCUAAGAACAUUAUGAGGUUUCUAUAUAUGAUAAUUUAAAAUUUGGAUAUUUCCAACCUGUGACUAAAUAUUGCUAUUUAAUUAACACUAAGUAAUUGAACUAUUAUUAUCCAUGAUGCUUUCUAAUGAGUUCUAGGUUCUAUUUCAUAGUUAUGGCUUUUAAAAAAAUUAUCAAAAUCUGUGUUUUCAGUAUUGUAUACAUUUCCUUGACUUUUGAACAAAAGGUCUAAAUGGAAGAGCUAAUCUUGUUUUGGAAUAAAGGCAAAUAAUUAAUGUCUCUCAUUUCGUUGGGGUUCUUAUGCAUAACCAUGAGGACGGUCAUGGCAUAAAUCUAUUCAGCAGUAAAUUACUUUCUGUCUGUGUAAUGGCUACAUGCUGAACCACAGUAGAUGUGAAGAUUAGCAGGUAGAAAUCAACCUUAUUUUGGUGAUAUACUAAGGCAAAACAUGCUGAAUAUUAGCAAAUAAAAAGGAAAACAUUCACCUUAGCUCCAGACAUUCAUGAUAUUUCAGUGUUAAGAAUAGAUAACUGCUUCCUUGUAUUCCAGAAUAAAUAAGAAGGGAAUUAAUGUAAGGGACUGCAACAUUCAAAAAUGGGACUAGAAUUAGGAAAUUGGCUCAUGGAAGAAAGCCCAGGGAAUAAGUAGUGGGGGGCUAGUGGAAAGAAGUCAGCUUGUCUCUGUUUACCCUUCCUCACAACUAUGAGAGGGAAAAGAACUGAGCAGAAAACUCAUUCUUGGGGUGAGGGCCAAAUCUCCUCCCUUCUGUUGGAGGAACCUUCUAGACAGCAAGAAUGGCAAUGGUCCUCUCUUCCGUGGACAAGAUGAAUGUGAGCUGGUGAAUCAGUGCUUCCUUAUCCCUACUGGGCUCACACUGUUCUAGUUCCCAUUCCUUGGCUUGUUAAGGCAGAACUCUCCUUUUCUUCUAUGUCUGUGAGUCACCCACCUGCAAAGGCUGAUUGUCAGUAGAUGUUGAAGCUUGAUUUGGCUGCCUUCACUAUGUAUUAGGGGCUUCCUCUGGUGGGUUCUUUACCAGCUGAGCUGCAGGGAAGCCCAAGAAUACUGGAGUGGUGAGCAGAGGACGUGACUUCAUAUCAGGCCAGAGAAGAUAAAAAGUCAAAUUCAGUUCCCCAUCAUUUCAGCGAAGAACUGGUCUAAUUCUAAUUCUUAUAAGACAAAGGGGGUGUUGAUUUCCUUAUAGAAGUCUGUUAAAAAUUAAAUGGCCAGGGGGACAUAUUAAAUAUAAUUUUAUUGCACUAAUAAAUUGUAUGGAUUAGUAUUUGUAAUGCAUUGAAAAUAAUUUAAAGGAUAAUGGACAUUGCAAAUAUAUUUAUAAUCUAUCAUAUUAAUAGGAAAAAUACAAAAGAAUCAAAUGCUGGAAUUUUAUAUAUAGAAAAGAAAUUAAAAGCUGAGUGUGUUUCUAUGAAUUUGAAUUCACUCAUAUUGCCUGUUCUUAGCCUGCAGUUCUAUGUUGUUUAUAUUAAUAAGUGGAGGGUGUAUCCCAUGUAAAGAGAACAAACUGUUUAAAACGGAUAGUGUGCUGUGUCCUCAAACAGUGUACAUCAUCAAAAUGAACUUUAAAGUUGUGUGAAUCCUUUUGAGAAGCGAAUAGUUCUUGCACACCUGACCUGUUAUCUUCAGGGCGAGAACUUCCAGGAGACAAUGGAAGGGCUGAGUAAUGCCGCCCUGGCUGAUGGGCCCUCCCUUUGCUGCAGUUCUCCUAUUCGGAGCUCCAUCUGCCCUGUGUUUGACAAAUCUGUCUUUUGGGGGUACUCCUUUUAACUUUUCUUCAUCACCACGUGCAUCUGAAUGUAACUAAUUCAGCCUACUGCUCAAUGCUGAGCACAGCAAGAAAUCCGCAUCCGCACCCACACCGCCCCCACCCCCAGCCCUGCACUGACUGCCUUCUACUUUUACAAAACCAAAUGCCAAACUGGUUUUACAAUGGAGAUGUUGAACAUAAAAGUUGGCUUCAUCAUAAUGUCCACCCAGUGGUUAUGUGAAUGGUUGCUUAUAACUUGUGUUCAGCUUUCUAGCCAAGCACUAGUGUCGCCUAAAAUUGCUACUGUGAGAAAACCAAAAUGCUAUUUUGUAAGCCCAGACUGUUCAUCUAAGUUUUGGAAAACUGCUCUUCUUUCUGCAGAGCUUGCUAAAGAAAGAUAAACAACUCUACCCAGACAAUGGGCAGCUGGGGAGCUGUGGCUCUUUAUUAAGUUACAUAUUACUGUGGAGAUGGGCAGAGAUGUGUGCUUUAAAGGCAGUUGCCUUCUUGUG